UUUGUACUCCCUCCGUCCGAAAAUUCUUGUCUUAAAUUUGUCUAAAUACGGAUGUAUCUAGUUACAUUUUAGUGUUAGAUACAUCCGUAUCUAAACAAAUGUAAGACAAGAAUUUUGGGACGGAGGGAAUACUAC
rnacentral:pre_miRNA from 1 species